GGAGGGUGUAGCUCAGUGGUAGAGUGCAUGCUUAGCAUGCACGAGGUCCUGGGUUCAAUCCCCAGUACCUCCA
rnacentral:tRNA from 1 species